CUCUAGAGAGGCCAGUGCCCCAGGGUGGGUAUAGCUCCUUGGGAGCUGAGGAGUUGCUGAGCUUUGGGCUGUGAACACCUGCCUGAGCGCUGCUUUGUCAGGAUCCAGCUGGACCUCCGGCCUCCCUGCAUCCCCUCGAUGCAGAGCAUAAGUUGCAGGUAUCGUCUGCCAUUGCUGCUAUCUUACUGGCAGCAUUAUGAAAGAUACCAUUUCAGUGAACAGCUGCAGAGCAGGGGCGCGGAUCUGACUCUGGUUAGCACAGCACGAGAACAGAAGGUGCGGGGUCUUUCUCUGGAGGGUAGAGAGGACUGCAGGGAUCUGAAACGAGAUGACAGACUGCUGCUCUCCUCCGAAACACCUGCCUGCUUGGAGCCAAGAACACACUGCAGCUCUUCAGCAAGCCCCUGUAGCUCAUACAGCACAGGAUGUAGAGAUAUGUAACAGACAUACUGAGAUUGGUACAGAUGGAAAUGUGUGUCUGAAAGCACCAGAAGAAACAACGGAGCAAGGUGACAAAGCUACACCAUGGUGGAAGGGCCAUUCCUCUUCCUGUUAUCUCUACAGUAAGACAGACCAUAAUUGCCAAGAUACGAGAAAUGAAGAAGCAAAUAGAAUGGGCAGCAGCCUUGUUUAAGAUUCAUGGAGGAUGAAGUAAACAAGCUUCUGAGGCAAAAGCAUCACCCCAUAACAAUUUUUGACUUCCAAAUGGUACAAAAAACUGCCCCAAACCCAGUUUAUUGCUACCAAUCCAAAGGAAUCCAAGAAAUGUAGUGAAGACCUGACAGCCAGUUGUCCAUUGCCCUUUAUACUACCUACAGGCAAUCCUGGACAAAUUGCUUGGGGUGCACACAUCUUAGUACUUGUAAAUAUGUGGGCAUGAGAGUAUGAAUGGGUAGAAUCAACUUAUUUAGAAGCUUGUAAAUUACAAUCGUGUUCUGCCUGCAUAACAUCUUGUAUUGCCUUUGGUUCCUACAAGGACAUGUAUCUUUCAUCAUGCAAUACUGUGUUAUGAACUUAUUAAUGGGUUUGCCUUUGUUUAGCAGCAUGGCUCAGAAAUUCUUUCUGAUUCUGUUCUCACAAUACUUCCUUCAGCAUUUUCAAAUUCAGGUAAUUGUGGGAGAAUGUUGGAGGAUUUCCAAUAUAUACAGCAAGAUAAACUUAGCUAAUGGAUAUAAAAGUGGAAUCUGGUAAAUCUGGAUGGAAAUGUAUGGCAUGAUUGCUUAUGACAGAGUAAGGGCUACUCCUGGUCACUGUGGUGGUCUCUUGCAAAUCAAGAUCCUGUAUUGCUCCAACCAUUGUGAACGAUAUUGUCAUAUAGCUGUGUAUGGCAGAAUUGCUGUAUGAAUAGCUGAGGACAUAAACUCAUGUCAGCUUUAGGCAUUGCCCUCCGCCAGGCCAGAUAACUUGAGUUAAAAGCUGCACUACAAUUAGAGCUAUGCAUUCUUCUGUGAACAAUUUUAAGGCAACACUCAGUAAAGCAAAGCACAGAAGAGUUUGGUUAGAGGGGGCACAGCCACUUGGUGUCACUUGGUUGUCCAGAAGGGAUAGAGAUGAUACUGUUACAAGAUAUGCUACCUAUCUAUUUUUCUGACGUAGCCUCUAUUUAAGAUGAAAAGAUUGCACCUGAUUUUAGUUUAUGGGAAGUAUAAAUCUCACAUUUUAAAGCUAAUUGUUUAUUUCAUUUUUCUCUGCUUUUUCGAAACAAGAAGUACCUUCAUCUGCAUGUCCCUAAAUAAAGGAACACCCCUUAACCUUUAACGAAAGGUA
rnacentral:lncRNA from 1 species